rnacentral:tRNA from 1 species
GCCCUGGUGCUGGAAUGGUAGACAGGCAUGUUUGAGGGGCAUGUGUAAGAAAUUACGUGGGGGUUCGAGUCUCCCCCAGGGCACCA